rnacentral:rRNA from 1 species
GAUGAACGCUGGCGGCGUGCUUAACACAUGCGAGUCGAACGGUGAAGGCGGAGCUUGCUCUGCUGGAUCAGUGGCGAACGGGUGAGUAACACGUGAGCAAUCUGCCCCUGACUCUGGGAUAAGCGCUGGAAACGGCGUCUAAUACUGGAUACGAGCUGCGAAGGCAUCUUCAGCAGCUGGAAAGAACUUCGGUCAGGGAUGAGCUCGCGGCCUAUCAGCUUGUUGGUGAGGUAACGGCUCACCAAGGCGUCGACGGGUAGCCGGCCUGAGAGGGUGACCGGCCACACUGGGACUGGGAAACGGCCCGGACUCCAACGGGAGCAAGCGGUGGGAAAUAUUGCACAAUGGGCGAAGGCCUGAGGCAGCAACGCCGGGUGGGGGACGACGGCCUUCGGGUUGUAAACCUCUUUUAGCAGGAAAGAAGCGAAGGUGACGGUACCUGCAGAAAAAGCGCCGCCAACCUACGG